rnacentral:rRNA from 1 species
UGGGGAAUAUUGCACAAUGGACGGAAGUCUGAUGCAGCGACGCCGCGUGGGGGAUGAAGGCUUUCGGGUUGUAAACUCCUUUCAGUACAGAAGAAGCUUUAUUGUGACGGUAUGUGCAGAAGAAGCGCCGGCUAACUACGUGCCAGCAGCCGCGGUAAUACGUAGGGCGCGAGCGUUGUCCGGAAUUAUUGGGCGUAAAGAGCUCGUAGGCGGUUUGUCGCGUCUGCUGUGAAAGACCGGGGCUUAACUCCGGGGCUGCAGUGGUACGGGCAGGCUGGAGUGCGGUAGGGGUAACCGGAAUUCCUGGUGUAGCGGUGGAAUGCGCAGAUAUCAGGAGGAACACCGAUGGCGAAGGCAGGUUACUGGGCCGUUACUGACGCUGAGGAGCGAAAGCAUGGGGAGCGAACAGG